rnacentral:rRNA from 1 species
UCAGGUAGGAAUACCCGCUGAACUUAAGCAUAUCAAUAGCCCGGAGGAAA